rnacentral:rRNA from 1 species
GACGAACGCUGGCGGCGUGCUUAACACAUGCAAGUGGAGCGACGAACCGGGCUUCGGCCCGGGGCAAAGCCGCGAACGGGUGAGUAUCACGUGGGUAACCUGCCCCGAUGACCGGGACAACCCGAGGAAACUCGGGCUAAUACCGGAUGUCUUCUCAAUCCAUCAGGGUUGAGAGAAAAGGAAGCUUCGGCCUCCGCAUUGGGAUGGGCCCGCGGCCCAUUAGCUUGUUGGUGAGGUAAAGGCUCACCAAGGCCACGAUGGGUAGCUGGUCUGAGAGGACGAUCAGCCACACUGGGACUGAGACACGGCCCAGACUCCUACGGGAGGCAGCAGUGGGGAAUCUUGCGCAAUGCGCGAAAGCGUGACGCAGCAACGCCGCGUGAGGGAAGAAGGCCUUCGGGUUGUAAACCUCUUUCAGGAGGGACGAAGGUUCAGGCGCGAAUAGCGUCCUGGACUGACGGUACCUCCAGAAGAAGCCCCGGCUAACUACGUGCCAGCCGCCGCGGUAAAAC